UACGGAGGGGACUAGCGUUGUUCGGAAUUACUGGGCGUAAAGCGCACGUAGGCGGAUUUGUAAGUCAGGGGUGAAAUCCCGGGGCUCAACCUCGGAACUGCCUUUGAUACUGCAAAUCUCGAGUCCGGAAGAGGUGAGUGGAAUUCCUAGUGUAGAGGUGAAAUUCGUAGAUAUUAAGAAGAACACCAGUGGCGAAGGCGGCUCACUGGUCCGGUACUGACGCUGAGGUGCGAAAGCGUGGGGAGCAAACAGG
rnacentral:rRNA from 1 species